rnacentral:lncRNA from 1 species
AUGGCCAAAAAAAUGUCCAGCCCAAGCACAUCCGGAAAACGGUCGCCGCCGUGUCACUCGCGUCUCUGCUUCGUCUUUCUCCUCAACUUCAAUUUCGGAUCCCCUUUUCAGCUUCUCCUUCAUCAAACCAUUCUGAAUCUGUCAACAACACCGCUUCUACGAACAUCACAUAUCGUAUUAACUCCAACUCGAUAUCGUUAUCCUCACGUUUCAAGUCGUUUCCUCUCAGAGUUAGAGACCUCGAACGAGACCCAAAAUCGACACUCCGACGGUGCCUCAGACACAACAAAGAUGCUUAGAACUCCAGAGGUUCUUUAUUCAGGUAUUCAAAUCAAACUAGUUUAG